rnacentral:lncRNA from 1 species
AUGGCCCGUAUAUAUUCAAAUCGUUAAAUGAUCAACUAGCAUAUCAUAGUAAGGUUCUCGAACCAAACAAAGGACAUGAACAAUCUAUCCCCAGUUAUAUCUCUAACCAAACAAAAAACAAGGAUCAUCUCAUCCUUCCAACCAAAUAAUAUGAGGAAUCAUUCCAUUCCCAACUUAGGAGCCAUUCUAUUCUGCCCUCAUUUGUCCAGCAACCAAACGUAUCCUAAUAUAAUAAAUAGAGAUAGAGAUGUUUGUCCGACCGGCAAUUACCAAGGUACACAGACGAGGACAUAAAUACUUCAACUAAGGGAUGCUGUUGACAAAUCACAAUCGAUAUAGAACAAAUGAUGGGCGACAAUAACUUUUGCAUUCAUGCAUGCAGGAAGCGAUCGAACCAUUCGCUUGCUGCCUUCACCAUGUCGAUUGUGAUUUUAUGGCCGACUCCAGGCUCUGCAAUGAAC